rnacentral:rRNA from 1 species
UACGGAGGAUGCAAGCGUUAUCCGGAAUGAUUGGGCGUAAAGCGUCCGCAGGUGGCUAUGUAAGUCUGCUGUUAAGGAGUCUAGCUCAACUAGAUAAGAGCAGUGGAAACUACAAGGCUAGAGUACGUUCGGGGCAGAGGGAAUUCCUGGUGUAGCGGUGAAAUGCGUAGAUAUCUGGAGGAACACCCGUAGCGAAGGCGGCAUCCUGGACCGGCAUUGACGCUGAGGCGCGAAAGCCAGGGGAGCAAACGGG